rnacentral:lncRNA from 1 species
UUACCUACCGUUGGAACCGCGAUGCCCCGUUCCCUGGCCGCGGCCGCUUCUCCAGGACCCGCGGCGACGGCAAGAGGGCGAGAACUGAGGCCCCAAGUGGCUCCGCGGCCGAGAAGCCUCUUCCUGGGGCGGCCGCUGACGGGAGGUUAAAGCUACGGCUGUGGCGCGGGGCCAGCCCGCAGGUGGCAGUAAAGUGUUUUGUCCAAACUAAAUUACAACGACUGCUUCCCAAUAGAUGGAAGCAAAGCGUCUGGACGAAGGAGAGCUUUUUUCUCAUGGUGCUGCUGUGUUAGCCUAGUGACAGCUCUGUAUGGCCCACACCUGGUCCACAGGAAGCUCUCAGGCACCUCUUGCCCGAACAAACUUGGGAGUACAGGCUAAUCCCAGUGCAGAUUCAACAUUCCUCUACUCUGCUGCCAAAACAGCCGCCAGCCUGUGGGAGUCAGACACAGGCCCACGGUGCCCCUCAGACUGCAGGAGGUACAAGUCAAGUGCUCUGAGCAGAUCCAUUGAAGGCCCACUCCCUCGACUUGAAGUAAAAGGCAGGCAGGCACCUGUGGUAAGAAUCACAGCUCACCAGCAACAGUCUCCAAAGACAUUGUCCUCAAUAAUUCUGGUUUGGCCUUUUAUAACUAAAUAACUGAGUAUUUAAUCUACCUGCUUUGUCUAAAUCCUCUGAAAUUUCUAGAGGGGGUCUAUCUCAGAAAUUACUUUAGUUUUUUGGUGGAUGGAGGGAAGAAGAUGGUUUCUUUUAUAAUAAUCUUGUUGCUUCAGUUAAAACAGUGGUUCUCAACUGCGACAAUUUUGGGGGACCAUGUGUGCAGACAUUUUUGGUUUUUUUUUAAACUUUUUUUUUCCUUCUGAAUUCAGGAUCUGCUGAAUACAGACAUUUUUGAUUGUCACCACUGGAGAGGUGCUAUUGGCUGGUGGGAGAAGGUCAAGGAUGCUGGUAAACAUCCUUUACGGCACAGGACAGCCCCUACAGCAAAGAACAGCAAUUCUGUUUGUUACAGAGAUGAGAGAAUACCUCACUAAAAGAAUACUUCAAAAUUACAUCACUUUUUCUUCUUUUUUUCCUACAAAUUCUUUACCUGUAGAUGGAAACGUCACAUUUCAAUAUAUCAAUAGAGUCAAAAAUAGCAUUUGCAAUAGCUAUUUGGCCAGGAUGAGAAGUGACUGGUAUAGACCAAUCCUUUGUGUUUCCAAGACUCCUUCUGGAGAUGAGGCCAUGCCAGGAAAAUUACUACUUGAGA